rnacentral:rRNA from 1 species
UGAAGCCUCGGACGCAGCAGUCGGGAAUAUUGCGCAAUGGAGGAAACUCUGACGCAGUGACGCCGCGUAUAGGAAGAAGGUUUUCGGAUUGUAAACUAUUGUCGUGAGGGAAGAAAUUGACAGUACCUCAGGAGGAAGCUCCGGCUAACUAUGUGCCAGCAGCCGCGGUAAUACAUAGGGAGCAAGCGUUAUCCGGAUUUAUUGGGUGUAAAGGGUGCGUAGACGGGAAAUUAAGUUAGUUGUGAAAUCCCUCGGCUUAACUGAGGAACUGCAACUAAAACUGGUUUUCUUGAGUACUGGAGAGG